rnacentral:rRNA from 1 species
UGAACGCUGGCGGCAUGUUUACACAUGCAAGUCGGACGGCAGCACAGAGAAGCUUGCUUCUUGGGUGGCGAGUGGCGAACGGGUGAGUAACAUAUCGGAACGUACCGAGCAGUGGGGGAUAACUAAUCGAAAGAUUAGCUAAUACCGCAUAUAUUCUGAGGAAGAAAGCAGGGGACCAUUUGGCCUUGCGCUGUUUGAGCGGCCGAUAUCUGAUUAGCUAGUUGGUGGGGUAAAGGCCCACCAAGGCGACGAUCAGUAGCGGGUCUGAGAGGAUGAUCCGCCACACUGGGACUGAGACACGGCCCAGACUCCUACGGGAGGCAGCAGUGGGGAAUUUUGGACAAUGGGCGCAAGCCUGAUCCAGCCAUGCCGCGCGUCUGAAGAAGGCCUUCGGGUUGUAAAGGACUUUUGUCAGGGAAGAAAAGGGCGGGGUUAAUACCCCUGUCUGAUGACGGUACCUGAAGAAUAAGCACCGGCUAACUACGUACCAGCAGCCGCGGUAAUACGUAGGGUGCGAGCGUUAAUCGGAAUUACUGGGCGUAAAGCGGGCGCAGACGGUUACUUAAGCAGGAUGUGAAAUCCCCGGGCUCAACCUGGGAACUGCGUUCUGAACUGGGUGACUAGAGUGUGUCAGAGGGAGGUAGAAUUCCACGUGUAGCAGUGAAAUGCGUAGAGAUGUGGAGGAAUACCGAUGGCGAAGGCAGCCUCCUGGGAUAACACUGACGUUCAUGCCCGAAAGCGUGGGUAGCAAACAGGAUUAGAUACCCUGGUAGUCCACGCCGUAAACGAUGAGUGCUAGGUGUUGG